GUACAGGGCAACCAAGGCAGUUUCUGUGCCAAAACAGGCCUAAACCCUGAUUGAAAUGGAUCCAGAAAAUCAGCUUCUUCCAAGAGCACCUGGAUCUGGUCUGCGACCACUCGCUCCAGAACCUCGCUCUAGAAGUUGGACAAACCAAGAUUGGUAAGAUUUUAACACAGGUAAGAUUUAGAAGUGAGAAGGGUAAGGGUAUGAUACAGUGCAUGUGAUAAAGAGCAAAGCAGAAGACAACAUAGUUCCAUUUAAUUUCAUGUUAGCUCAGGUUGCCUUGUUGACAAAAAUGCUUUGCAGCCAUUAUGUGAUAGCUUCUUGGGGACUAUAGAUAAGCUCCUUUGCUAAUGGGCGGAACUUCAUUUUAUUUAUAAUGUGGCUUCCAAAGAGUAGAAUAACAAACCCUCUUGAGCAGCAGGCUUAAAAGUGGUGGCAUUUGGCAUAUGAAGCUAGGAAGAGGCAUUAUUAUUAUUAUUAUUAUUAUUAUUAUUAUUAUUAUUAUUAUUAUAUUUUAAUAAUACCCCACCCUUUUCUUUGAUGGGAUUCAAGGCAAAUGACAAGCAUUCCGGGAGCCACUUCAGAUUAGUGAAAUUAGAAAAGAAUGAAGGCACGAAAAGAGAAAUAACUAUUGAACCAGAAAAGGUUUGGAAGCCACUAGGAUCAAGAAUUGGUUGUCGGGGAAGCAAAAAAGGGGGAAAUAGCUGAAAAAGCCACAAGGAGCAGCAGCAAAAAGCAAGCAACCAAGGGUGAGAGUAUUAUACCUAAUUGUAGUUACUGGGCAACUGCAGAAGAGGGUCACCAAAAUAUUGUUGAGUUUUUGUUCCUUCAGAUGUGUAUAAAUCCAGAAGGUUCCAAACAUGCCAGCAUUUUGGAUCCUCGCCAGUAAUUCUGUUCCUAAGGUAGAAUACCCAUUUAGAAUACCCAUUUUAAAAGCUGAUGCAUCAAAACGGCUUCCUUUGUCUGUCGCUGAUUUUAGUGUGAAAAAGCCAAUAAGGCAUUUUGAGGGUCAAUCUACUGAUGGCAAUGGUAGAGGCGGCCUGGUAGAGGCAUUAGAGUGAGUAGAGGUUUUCACCAUUUUGCCAGCCAUUUUUAAGCAAAAAAAGUCCAGCAAACGUUUAAGCACAAACAUAUUCAGAAUUAGGAAGGAUGAGCCUUAACCAUUUUUUCCUGUACAUAAAGGGCAGAAGAUUUUCUCUGCUAAUGGUAAGGCUGAAAUGACUGGGAAAAUAUUUGAAAUCUUAUGAAUCCCGACUCUCUGGCCAUUUUUACUCAUACAUAAGGGGGUGGCGGAUUGUUCCACUAAUGACCAGAGCGGGGCCACACAAAAUCAUAAUAACCCACAAUUGUGAAACGUUUUGGAAUAGAGGUCUGUACCCUUAAAUCCUGUAGAUAAAGGAGGCAUGUAGCUCCCAAUUUUCUUUGCCUGGGGUACAGGUAUGACUAUUUACUGCAGGGAACAUGAUCCAUAAAUGCUGAGACUUUAUUAGAAAUUGAAUUUGACCCAAAUUGUAUUACUGGCUUUUUGGUGAAAACGUGUGUGAUAGGGUUGAUAGUUGCUGGGUUUCCAACAAAUACUAAAAUUUGGAUCCUUGCCAGUACUUCUGUUCCUAAGGUAAUAUAUUUAAAAACCUGGUGUAGCAAACUGCUUCCUUUGCCUGUAACCUCUCACUUGGUUACCUUCAACUGCAAUCGUAGCUUCUAUUAAAAAACCUUUUGAAUCAUCAGAGGUGGCGAUAGGCACUACUAACUAACAAGUGAUCUCUAAAUGCUCUAUCACAAUUAUAGCAGGAAUACAGUUGUGUGUCUUCUGGCUGAAGAUAAACUAGGUGAGUAUCUUGUGCUUGGCCAAGGGGAAAACUUCUGUUGUGUUCUGCCUGCAACUCUUUUUGUACAAAGAUUCUUUCAGGUCGCCGUGAGGGGGACCAUUCAAGCACCCUGAGCCUGUUGGAGAAAAGAAGAGCUGCGAACUCAAAAGCCUAAUGCAGUCGUUCUCCGUGCUUCUACCUAGAGGGACGUCUCUUGUCGGGACACCACUGCAGGGGAGGCCCCUUCCUGUGCCAUCACCACACAAUAAGGUACAUCUUUUGGUGGGACAGCCAUCCUUCUUUUGUUCCAGCUCUUUUAUUUACAGACCUCACCUGUGCCGGAGGCAAAUCUGCUCCAUUGACAAGUAAGAGGCAGUGUCAGAGCUCUUGAUGCAUCAAGUGAACAUCUUCAGUGUAGGACUGAGAGACACCUGCGUCUUGACUGCGCUGCUUCAGGUAACCGGCUGUUUUUGCUCCUGUGUCUGGAGGGGAGGGCUGCUGAAGACCCUAGUCUCUUCCAGGUGCAUCUCAGCGACACAAGAAAUAGAAUUUUGCAAGCCUUCAGGAAACUUAACGGCAAGUGAACUUCACACCUCACAAUUCAGUGAUCUUUUUCAGUAGAAUCCUUUUGUGCUGGCUUCUCCAUUUCCCCCGCUUGAUCUCUUCACAGUUCCGUCCAAGAGCCCACCACACUCAGGUGAAGCCAGCUCUUCCUGCAGAAGUCAGGCCAGCAGAAGGAACUUCCAGGCCCAUGAAUUCACACUUCAGAGGGACAAACAAAAAGGUGAGCAUAAAGGCAGAGUUUGAAGACUGGAACCAGUCUCUGCAAAUUAAUGGCAGUCAACAUGGCACUCUGUGACUUAACCCAAUCUAGGUGAAUAUCCCUUGCUUGGCAAGGGAUAAAACCUUGAUUGUGUUCUGUCUGCAACUUCAUAACUCUUAAGGGUUUUCUUUUUUCCUGAGAGAACAUUCUGUAUUCAGAGUGUUCUCUCAGGUUUUGCUUUUCACCUUGUUGCAU